UACGGAGGGUGCAAGCGGUGUCCGGAUUUAUUGGGGUUAAAGGGUGCGUAGGCGGUCUUUUAAGUCAGUGGUGAAAUCCUCCAGCUUAACUGGAGAACUGCCAUUGAUACUGGGAGACUUGAGUACAGACGAGGUAGGCGGAAUUGACAGUGUAGCGGUGAAAUGCAUAGAUAUUGUCAAGAACACCGAUUGCGAAGGCAGCUUACUAGACUGUAACUGACGCUGAGGCACGAAAGUGUGGGGAUCAAACAGG
rnacentral:rRNA from 1 species